AGAGUUUGAUCCUGGCUCAGGAUGAACGCUGGCGGCGUGCCUAACACAUGCAAGUCGAGCGAUUCUCUUCGGAGAAGAGCGGCGGACGGGUGAGUAACGCGUGGGUAACCUGCCCUGUACACACGGAUAACAUACCGAAAGGUAUGCUAAUACGGGAUAACAUGAGAGAGUCACAUGGCUUUCUUAUCAAAGCUUUUGCGGUACAGGAUGGACCCGCGUCUGAUUAGCUAGUUGGUAAGGUAACGGCUUACCAAGGCGACGAUCAGUAGCCGACCUGAGAGGGUGAUCGGCCACAUUGGAACUGAGACACGGUCCAAACUCCUACGGGAGGCAGCAGUGGGGAAUAUUGCACAAUGGGCGAAAGCCUGAUGCAGCAACGCCGCGUGAGCGAUGAAGGCCUUCGGGUCGUAAAGCUCUGUCCUCAAGGAAGAUAAUGACGGUACUGAGGAGGAAGCCCCGGCUAACUACGUGCCAGCAGCCGCGGUA
rnacentral:rRNA from 1 species